rnacentral:snRNA from 1 species
AAGAUGCUUCUCCGGAGUUGGU